GCUUAUUGCGAGAUUUCAGCGUCCUAGUCUAAAAAAUAAAAAUAAUCAAAUAAAAAUAAAAUAAACCCUUCCAUAAAAUUCAUUCUCAACAAUACAUAAAAAAACGCUCACAGUAUAGCGCCUGCCGGCUGUAUUUACAGAGCGGAGCGGCCCCCGGGCCCCCGCGGAGAAAAGAGACGGGGCUGGAAAAGGUCCGUGGAAAGGGCUCGGUGCGGGCAAAGCCGGCGUCCCGGGGCCACCGCCCCCGGCGUGAGCCCCCCGGGGGGGGGACACAGUCCUGGAUUUAAGGCGAGGAGGGGCCGGGCCCCUCUCUGGUUCAUCUCCCACCCCCUGUGCUUCGGGGGCCGAUGGGGUUUUUCCGUGGUUUCCUUUUGGAUGCGAAGAAAGAAGAGGAGAAGAAGCCAAAGCCCGGCGCAGCCGCGGCCCCGGUGCCAGCCCCGCGCGGAGCGGGGGGGACAAUCAUAGGGGGGGCCCCGUCCGCCCCCCACGGCCGAUGCUGGGGACGAGCCCCUGGGGCCACGAGCACCUGGGAGGCGGCGAGGAGGACGGGGUGCAGACCCAAAAAGCUGCUCCAUCCUGGCGCUGGGGGGGAAUCCAGCCCCCGGGGGGGCACAGGCGGUGCUUGGGCUGACACGGAGGGGAUGCAGCACCGGGGGGGGCAGCGGUCGGCCCUGCUCCAGCCCCAGGUCCAGCCGAGCACCUGGGGGGGCUCCUGGUGCCAUCCAGAACCCCCAGGGCUCCCCGUGGGUGCUGCCACUUCGCUGCUGGCGGAGCCGCCCCGUGGGGACAGAGGUGACAUCCACAGUGCGAGCCAUGGGGAGGGGUCACCCCAGGGGGCUCGUAGCUCGGAGACCCCCCCAGAAGCCUCGUGUCUGUCCGGGUCCCCCAUCCCCGUGCGCUGCGAUGUCCUGCUGCAGGAGGGGCGGCCGGGCUGGGAAGGAGUCCGUGCCAUCGGCACCGUGGCGGUGUCCAUCUCGCCGGGCGAAGGCAGUGUGCCAUGCCGCAGCCACCACGGCCCCGGAGAGGGGCUCAGCGCCCGGGGCCCCCCCGUGCGGUUCAGUCUGACAC
rnacentral:lncRNA from 1 species